UUAUGUCAGACCCAUUUGACCAUGCCCAGGGACUUUGCAUAUAUCUGACUCUUAUUUUGGAAGUUAAGCAGGUCAGGCCUCGUUAGUACUUGGAUUGAUGACCACCAUGGAAAAUACCUCCAGGUAGAGCAAGGA
rnacentral:rRNA from 1 species